CACCACUCAAGCCUCGCUUGGUAUUGGGCAACGCGGUCCGCCGCGUGCCUCAAAUCGACCGGCUGGGUCUUCUGUCCCCUAAGCGUUGUGGAAACUAUUCGCUAAAGGGUGCUCGGGAGGCUACGCCGUAAAACAACCCCAUUUCUAAGG
rnacentral:misc_RNA from 1 species